ACGGAAGGCAGCAGUGGGGAAUAUUGGGCAAUGGGCGAAAGCCUGACCCAGCAACGCCGCGUGAAGGAAGAAGGUUUUCGGAUUGUAAACUUCUUUUAUCAGGGACGAAGAAAGUGACGGUACCUGAUGAAUAAGCCACGGCUAACUACGUGCCAGCAGCCGCGGCAAUACGUAGGUGGCAAGCGUUAUCCGGAUUUACUGGGUGUAAAGGGCGCGUAGGCUGGGAUGCAAGUCAGGUGUGAAAUCUAUGGGCUUAACCCAUAAACUGCAUUUGAAACUGUAUCUCUUGAGUGUCGGAGAGGUAGACGGAAUUCCUAGUGUAGCGGUGAAAUGCGUAGAUAUUAGGAGGAACACCAGUGGCGAAGGCGGUCUACUGGACGAUAACUGACGCUGAGGCGCGAAAGCGUGGGGAGCAAACAGGAUUAGAUACCCUGGUA
rnacentral:rRNA from 1 species